rnacentral:rRNA from 1 species
UACAGAGGUCCCGAGCGUUAGGCGGAAUCACUGGGCUUAAAGCGUGUGUAGGUGGAUCGUUAAGUACCUUGUGAAAUCCCACGGCUUAACCGUGGAACUGCUUGGUAUACUGGCGGUCUUGAGCCAGCUAGGGGCUACCGGAACAAAUGGUGGAGCGGUGAAAUGACAUAGAUAUCAUCCAGAACACCGAUUGCGAAGGCAGGUGGCUACGAUUAUUUGACACUGAGGCACGAAAGCAUGGGGAGCAAACAGG